rnacentral:rRNA from 1 species
UACGAAGGGGGCUAGCGUUGCUCGGAAUCACUGGGCGUAAAGCGCGUGUAGGCGGCCAGAAAAGUCCGCUGUGAAAACUCGAGGCUCAACUUCGAGCUGUCGGUGGAAACUUUCUGGCUAGAGUCCGGAAGAGGAGAAUGGAAUUCCUGGUGUAGCGGUGAAAUGCGCAGAUAUCAGGAAGAACACCCGUGGCGAAGGCGGUUCUCUGGGACGGUACUGACGCUGAGACGCGAAAGCGUGGGGAGCGAACAGG